AGCGAACGUUAGCGGCGCGCCUAACACAUGCAAGUCGCACGAGAAAGGGAGCAAUCCCCGGUACAGUGGCGCACGGGUGAGUAACACGUAGAUGACCUUCCCUGGAGUGGUGGAUAACCUGCCGAAAGGCGGGCUAAUACAGCAUGGGACCACAUGGUUUUGACCGAGUGGUGAAAGCGGGCCUCUGUUCACAAGCUCGCGCUCUGGGAUGGGUCUGCGUCCCAUCAGCUAGUUGGUGAGGUAAUGGCUCACCAAGGCAUCGACGGGUAGCUGGUCUGAGAGGAUGACCAGCCACACUGGAACUGAGACACGGUCCAGACUCCUACGGGAGGCAGCAGUGGGGAAUCUUGCGCAAUGGGCGAAAGCCUGACGCAGCGACGCCGCGUGGGUGAUGAAGGCC
rnacentral:rRNA from 1 species